GACGAACGCUGGCGGCGUGCCUAACACAUGCAAGUCGAACGGGGUUGAGUGCCUCGGUAUUCAACCUAGUGGCGAACGGGUGAGUAACGCGUGAAGAACCUGCCUUUCAGUGGGGGACAACAGUUGGAAACGACUGCUAAUACCGCAUAACACUUCUGAGUGGCAUCACUUAGAAGUCAAAGCUUUAUGUGCUGGAAGAUGGCUUCGCGUCUGAUUAGCUAGUUGGCGGGGUAACGGCCACCAAGGCGACGAUCAGUAGCCGGUCUGAGAGGAUGAACGGCCACAUUGGGACUGAGAUACGGGCCCAGACUCCUACGGGAGGCAGCAGUGGGGAAUAUUGGGCAAUGGGGGAAACCCUGACCCAGCAACGCCGCGUGAAGGAGAAGGGCCUUCGGGUUGUAAACUUCUUUUACCAGGGACGAAGGGACGUGACGGUACCUGGGAGAAAAAGCAACGGGCUAAC
rnacentral:rRNA from 1 species